CACUCUGUUCUAAUUUCACGCUCAGUCUCUCUCUCUCUCUCUUCUCUUUUUAGUUUCACGCUUUUACUCUCAUUACCCUUAAUUUCAAUUCACGUUUUUCUCUCUUUCUUAUUAUAUCUCUCAUUCUCUUUUUCUUUUGUCUCACUUUUUACUCUCUAUUACUCACUCACUCUCCCAUUCUUUUUUCACUUUUACUCUUUCACUGUUUUUCCCUCUCAUUCUAUCCCUCACUCUCUCCAUUACACACUCAGUCUCUCACUGCCUCAUCCUCACUCUCUCACCCUUACAGUCUCCCCCUUUUCCCCUUAUUUUACUCUUUCUUCCCCUCUCACACUCCUUCUCUCUUUCACUUAUUCACUCUCUCACUGUAUCAUCCUGACUAUUUUAUCUUUACACUAUCUUACACUCUCAAUCUCUCCUUUUCUCACAAACAUUUUUCACUCUUUCCUACUAAUACAUUGUAUUUCUCUUCCACUCAUUCUGUCUCACACACUCUCUCUAACAAUUGUUGAUUCUGCUUUUCUUACUCCUCUCUUAUUUCACUCUCACUCUUUCUCUUUUAUUCUUUCAUAUUGUAUCCCUCACUCUCUCCGAUAUUCUCUCUCACUCUCUCAUUCUGUCUGUUGGACUGUCUCUCAUUCACAUUUUCUCUCACAUUCUCAUUCUCUCACUCCCUUUCACGCUCUCAUUCUUUUGCUCUCUCUCUCUCUUACUUAUUCUCUCACUCUCUUUCUCACUCAUUCUGUCAUUCUGUCUGUCUCUCUCUCUGACUUUCUCAUUUUCUCAUUCUGUCUGUCUCUUGUCUCUGUCUUUCACGUUCUCAUUCUCUCCAUCUGUACGGUCUCACUUACAUUCUCUCUCACUUUCUCAUUCUCUCCUUCUGUACUCUUUUGCUUACAUUCUCUCUCACUUUCUCAUUCUCUCAUUCUGCCUCGUCUGUCUCUCACUUUUUCUCAUUCUCACAUUUUCUCUCACAAUCUCAUUUUCUUGCUCUUUCUCUGA
rnacentral:lncRNA from 1 species